GUUUGCUUUGGCGGGGCACGUAGUAAAAUUGGAACAAUAUAGAGUAGAUUAGUGUGGCUCCUGCAGAAGGAUGACACACAAAUUUGUGAAGCAUUCCAUAUUAAA
ensembl:snRNA U6 U6 spliceosomal RNA